rnacentral:lncRNA from 1 species
GUACACAUAUUUUAGUGGCACAAACUCAAAAUAAACCAAAUUUGAAAUUCAGAUGACGGAAAUUGAUAAACUUUAACCGAAGUUUUUGACCAAGAAGAGGAUUUCAAAGAUGAUUGAGAUUUCAUUGAAUACGUAUUCGUUAGUACUUCUAAUAAGUACAAAGUCGCGAUAUACACACACACACCCUCGCCCUCACCCUCACACACACACACAUAUAUAUAUAUAUCAACAUUUCCUAUAUAUCUUAAAUACUUCAUAUAUUACAUCAUUUCUUAUAUAUUGCCAACAUUCGUAUCUUUAGUUACAAACGGUCCUUCAUAUACCUUCCUUAUUUGGAAAGAAAAAUAAUAAUAAUACAAUAACAGGCGUUAUUGAAAGUCACGUAACAGUGACGUGAUUCUCGAAUACAGGAUUAUCACUGCAACACAAUCACGGCCUUUAUCAGAUCAGUCGAAUGAGGCGUUUAUGUCAAGGGAGGACAAACCGCUUUUGUCAAGUUGCAAUUUCAAUUCGUUACCAUCUAGUUUUUUUGUAGCAUUUAGCCCCUAGCUAAUUCUAAUCUAAUGUAGUUAUUUUCAGGUUUUGCAAUCUCUGUGAAUAUGCAUGACUUUCCUUAAGAGUGCGGCCAGCGCCAUGAUAAUAUCGGACUCCGUGCGCUAUUCCAUUGACAUAGCCGUCUUUACAAUACUUUCUUACCAAUCUUGCAGAGUGUCCAAAUGUCAUUUCAAAAGUUCUUGUGUCAAAAAGUUCUGGACUGUGCUCGUUGACAGAACUGUAGUCUUUUUCUUCUACCCGCAUAAGGUCAUCCAAAACUUUUUAAAGCAGGAUGCAAGAGUAAAUGACUAAAAUUUGCAGAUUUGCAUAAAAAUUCAGUAGCUAUCCGAUCAUAGACGAAAACAAGAGGAGCCUUCCUAUGUAAGUAUAUGCAACACCCAAGGCGGCUGAGCAGGAAUGAUAGCCUCCAUCAGGCGUCACUUACUCAAAAUUCCAACCAACUUCCGUUCAACAUCACGUCUUCUUCGUUGAUUGAGAUAUCGGACAACACAAUUCCACGAAUUUUUACAAUACUUCAGCAUACUGGUGCAUUGAAGAAGGUAAAAGAGUACCUAACUGCUUAGAGUGUAUGCAACGCCGACUGCAGUUAAGCACGGAAAGUGUUGCUUCAAUCACCCACUGCACUGAUACCAUAACAUUAAUCGUAUCAUCAGACGUUUUUUAUCC